UAGAGCGGCGGACGGGUGAGGUAACACGUGGACAAUACUGCCCCCCGGCCCGGGACUAGCCCAGGGAAACCUGGAUUAAUACCGGAUGAGACGGGACCUGCGAUGGCGGGAUCCCGGGAAAGGCGCUACGGCGCCGCCGGGGGAUGAGUCUGCGUCCCAUUAGCUAGACGGCGGGGUAACGGCCCACCGUGGCGACGAUGGGUAGCCGGCCUGAGAGGGUGGACGGCCACAUUGGAACUGAGACACGGUCCAGACUCCUACGGGAGGCAGCAGCUAAGAAUCUUCCGCAAUGGGCGAAAGCCUGACGGAGCGAACCGCCGCGUGAACGAAGAAGGCCGUGAGGUUGUAAAGUUCUUUUCGGGAGGGGGAACAACCGUGGCAGGGAAUGGCCGCGGGAUGACGUGAAUCCCGGAAUAAGCCCCGGCUAACUACGUGCCAGCCGCCGC
rnacentral:rRNA from 1 species